rnacentral:rRNA from 1 species
CCUACGGGGUGCAGCAGUGAGGAAUAUUGGUCAAUGGUCGGGAGACUGAACCAGCCAAGCCGCGUGAGGGAUGAAGGUACAGAGUAUCGUACACCUCUUUUGUCAGGGAACAAAGGCGGGGACGUGUCCCCGGAUGAGUGUACCUGAAGAAAAAGCCUCGGCUAACUCCGUGUCAGCAGCCGCAGUAAUACGGAGGAAGCCAGCGUUAUCCGGCUUUAUUGGGUUUAAAGGGUGCGCAGGCGGUCUUUUAAGUCAGCGGUAAAAGCCCGGGGCGCAACCCCGGCCCGCCGUUGAAACUGGCAGUCUCGAGUUGGAGAGAAGUAUGCGGAAUGCGCGGUGUAGCGGUGAAAUGCAUAGAUAUCGCGCAGAACUCCGAUUGCGAAGGCAGCAUGCCGGCUCCACACUGACGCUGAGGCACGAAAGCGUGGGUAUCGAACAGGAUUAGAUACCCGUGUAGUC